UGGGGAAUUUUGGACAAUGGGCGCAAGCCUGAUCCAGCAAUGCCGCGUGAGUGAAGAAGGCCUUCGGGUUGUAAAGCUCUUUUGUUAGGGAAGAAAAGGUUGGCAAUAAUACUGCCAGCUGAUGACGGUACCUAAAGAAUAAGCACCGGCUAACUACGUG
rnacentral:rRNA from 1 species